UGGGGCAGGCGAGGGUGGCCCUGUUCAGUGGUCAGGGGUGGCGGGGGCAGAGUUCAGGUGACAAGCAGGGGAAUGGGGACAGUUCUGGGGACACAGUUAAGGGGAAUGGGGCAGAGUUAAGGUGACGGGGACACGGGGUUCUGGGGACACACUUAAGGUAACAGCAGACAAAGUUAAGAUGACAGGGACAGAAUUUAAGGUGACGGGACCAAAUAAAAGGGAAUGGGGACACAGAUAAGGGGAAUGCGGGCAGAGACAAGGUGACAGGGGCCACAGUUCCAGUGACCCGAGCACAGGGAGGUGAUUCUGGUGCUUGAGCAAAGGCUGCCCCCAGCAUUUGGGAGACUCUGGGCCCCCCCUCCAGCAGCACAGGGUAACCCCAGCGACUCAGAACCCCCCAUCACACAUCAGGGAAACUGAGGCACGGCCCCAGACACCCUGCAGGGCUCCAGCCCCCAGCCU